UGUUUUAUCCGAAGCUAGUCACGGCCUCUAUUAUAGGCUUAGGCAUUUGUGUUAAAAUGUUAAUUUUUAUUUUCUUGGACCCUGAUGGAGACAAAAACCAUGUUUAUAGUACUUCUGACUUGCUUCCUCAUCGUUUAGUUAUGUGGAGUUAGAGGUGGUGGGAAUGCUGCAGCUCAAGCAUCAUUUUGGCAAGCAAAAGUAGGGCUUUCUUUUAUAUUGGCAUUCGAGUCAGAGAGGGAAAGGAAUGCAGCCAUCAUGCUUGCCAGGAGGUUUGCAUUUGAUUGCAAUAUCAUGCUUGCCGGACCAGAUGACAGAGCUCCUCCAGAAACAUGACAAAUCUAUGCUCUACUCUCCUC